GUGCUCACUUUGGCAGCACAUAUACUAAAAUCGAAAUGAUACAGAGAAGAUUAGCAUGGCCCUGGUACAAGGAUGACAUGCCAAUUCAUGAAGCGUUCCAUAAAAAA
rnacentral:snRNA from 1 species